UAGAGUUUGAUCCUGGCUCAGGACGAACGCUGGCGGCGUGCCUAACACAUGCAGUCGAGCGGAGACAUAUCACGGAGAUAAAGUUUUCGGACGGAGUCGAAGAGGUAUGUUUUAGCGGCGGACGGGUGAGUAACGCGUGAGCAAUCUGUCCUGCACAGGGGGAUAACACAGCGAAAGUUGUACUAAUACCGCAUAAGACCACGACCGGGCAUCCGGAUGGGGUCAAAGGAGCAAUCCAGUGCAGGGUGAGCUCGCGUCCGAUUAGAUAGUUGGUGAGGUAACGGCCCACCAAGUCGACGAUCGGUAGCCGACCUGAGAGGGUGAUCGGCCACAUUGGGACUGAGACACGGCCCAAUUCCUACGGGAGGCAGCAGUGGGGAAUAUUGGCAUGGGGGACCCUGACCCAGCAUGCCGCGUGAAUGAUGAGGCCUAUGGGUUGUAAUAUUCUGUUGUUGGGAGACUGAGAAUACGAAUGAUUUCUGCUGACGGUACAUUC
rnacentral:rRNA from 1 species